CCUACACCUGUAAAUCCAACAUGGAGCCGUAGGCCUGUUGGCGGCAGGACGGGGGUCGUCAGCCGGAACUAGGAGCUGUUAGCCGGCUAAUGAAAUGAAGCUUCACACGAUGAACCUCCAUUAAAUCUCCUUUAAGUCUUAUUUCAACUCGCUUCCACGUGUUGCGCUUACCUGGACCCGUCUAUCACCUGGCGCCGCUGAUGAGCUAGCUUGAUGAGCUAACCCGGCCCCGGCUAUGUUUCUGGUAUCCACCACGUUGAUGGGUCUGUGACUGAAGCUGAGAAACUAAUUAGGAUAUUUCUGACAACAAUGCGGCGAAGCUAAAUUGGUCCCUCGCUAUAUGUGACAGCUCAUGGAUGGAUGGUGUGUAUUAGCAGCAGAGGGGGAACAGCAGUGGUUCGGACCCGAGCUUCUACGCACACAGCUGACAUGUGUGGACCAGGCAGCGGUGGAGGAGCUAAUACAAGUGGUGGGCCUUUCUAUCGCCUUAUUGAUCCUGUAUCACAGAGACACGACAAGGAAAAGUCAUCAAAUAACCAAAGCUCCAUCAGCCACCGCUCACAUCGACAGCACACACCAGAUAUCCAUCAGGACCGGGAAGCCCCGGGGUCAGGCCGAGUUGAAUCUCAUGUCAGAAUUGGCCCCGCGUUGACCUGCGCCUGACUGGCCUCCCAGCAAAAAGCCCCUGUGAAGAGGGAAGCGAGGGCUCCGCUGAUCCGAAGGUGAAAAACACCCUCCUCCUCCUCCUCCACCUCCUCCUCCUCUCCCCCGGCGGAACAUCUGUCUCCGUGGCGUCGGCGGCAGCACCGACUCUGACACCUCCAGAUGGAGCAC